AACUAAACAGGAUUCCCUCAGUAAUGGCGAAUGAACAGGGAUGAGCUCAGUAUGGAAAUUGGGGCCUGUGGCCUUGAAUUGUAGUCUGGAGAUGUAUCACCAACUGGGGCGCAGAUGUAAGCCUCUUGGAAAAGAGCAUCAAUGAGGGUGAGAGUCCCGCUUGGCAUCUGCAGUCCCCAGUGCACGGUGUACCUUCUAAGAGUCACGUUCCUCGGGAUUGGAGCGCAAAUUGGGUGGUAAAUUUCAUCUAAAGCUAAAUAUUGCUUCGAGACCGAUAGCAAACAAGUACCAUGAGGGAAAGGUGAAAAGGACUUUGAAAAGAGAGUUAAAAGUGCCUGAAAUUGCUGAAAGGGAAGCGAAUGGAGCCAGCGUAUCUUGGCAAGAUUGCUGCGUGUCAAUGUGAUUGCUUGCUUCUUCAACGUAAGUGUGGUUGCAAGUCUUGAGCAAGACAUGCGUGGUGUUUCUUGCCUUGUGUGUCACCGCCAGUUCGCAGCUGAGGAAAACUUCAGGGACAUGGUAGCAUACCCCCGGGUGUGUGAAUGUGCCUGCUGGAACUCGUUUGCGGACUGUUUGGUGAC
rnacentral:rRNA from 1 species